rnacentral:rRNA from 1 species
AUUGAACGCUGGCGGCAUGCUUUACACAUGCAAGUCGAACGGUAACAGGCCGCAAGGUGCUGACGAGUGGCGAACGGGUGAGUAAUGCAUCGGAACGUGCCCAGUCGUGGGGGAUAACGCAGCGAAAGCUGCGCUAAUACCGCAUACGAUCUAUGGAUGAAAGCGGGGGACCGAGAGGCCUCGCGCGAUUGGAGCGGCCGAUGUCAGAUUAGGUAGUUGGUGGGGUAAAGGCUAACCAAGCCGACGAUCUGUAGCUGGUCUGAGAGGACGACCAGCAACACUGGGACUGGGACAAGGCCCAGACUCCUACGGGAGGCAGCAGUGGGGAAUCUUGGACAAUGGGCGAAAGCCUGAUCCAGCAAUGCCGCGUGCAGGAAGAAGGCCUUCGGGUUGUAAACUGCUUUUGUACGGAGCGAAAAGGUCCUUUCUAAUACAAGGGGCUCAUGACGGUACCGUAAGAAUAAGCACCGGCUAACUACGUGCCAGCCGCCGCAGUAACAC